rnacentral:rRNA from 1 species
AGUGAACGCUGGCGGUAGGCCUAGCACAUGCAAGUCGAACGGCAGCACAGUAAGAGCUUGCUCUUACGGGUGGCGAGUGGCGGACGGGUGAGGAAUACAUCGGAAUCUACUUUUUCAUGGGGGAUAACGUAGGGAAACUUACGCUAAUACCGCAUACGACCUACGGGUGAAAGCAGGGGAUCUUCGGACCUUGCGCGAUUGAAUGAGCCGAUGUCGGAUUAGCUAGUUGGCGGGGUAAAGGCCCACCAAGGCGACGAUCCGUAGCUGGUCUGAGAGGAUGAUCAGCCACACUGGAACUGAGACACGGUCCAGACUCCUACGGGAGGCAGCAGUGGGGAAUAUUGGACAAUGGGCGCAAGCCUGAUCCAGCCAUACCGCGUGGGUGAAGAAGGCCUUCGGGUUGUAAAGCCCUUUUGUUGGGAAAGAAAAGCAGCAGGUUAAUACCCCGCUGUUCUGACGGUACCCAAAGAAUAAGCACCGGCUAACUUCGUG